CCUUACACCAGGGGCUCCUGCCGCGGCGCGGCGGCGCUGCUCAGGGCGUGGACCAACCAAUCCCAACCCUCCCCUCUGCGCCCAUCCUUUCUGGGGUGGCGCGAGCAUCGGCAUUUGUGGCGGAGGAGCGCGUGCGGAGCCGCGGAUGGGGACGGCGAGCGACCAACGUGGAUGUGGGUGCGCGGCGCCGUCGCCGCAUCCCGCUACCAUCGACUGCUGUCCAAUCCUUCACAGGCUCCAUGGAAUGCCUGAACUUGUGCGCUGGAUGUAUUUAAAUAUUGAUUAAAUUACCUCCCACAUGCGAGAAUCAGAGUACUCAUUCAGGGGAUCUAGAUUCCCUCUGACUGUUCCCUCAAACAUAGUUGGAUCCUGUGGUAUGAUGCUAAGUCUGCCCCGUAAAUCAUGCAGCCCUAUUUUGCAGAUGUCAACAUUGUCAAUUUCAAUUGUUCCUUCCCUUGGUUCAACGAUCCUGAAAAGUGCUUGGAUAAAUGUUGACUUUCCGCUACCAGUACGUCCUACUAUCCCCACCUUCUUCCUUCCUGGAAUUGUGCAUGAUAUGUUUCUCAAAACAGAUGGGAGAUGCUCUGCAUACCGAACCUGUAGAAGAAAGAACAAUGUAUCAGGGAAAAUAAGAUUUUAAGAUUCCCUUCUGAAAAACAAAAAAUCUUCCACUUUCAUUAUAGAGAAAACAAAGUUAUCAACUUCUAUGUGGCAUCUAUAUGACUAUUCUUGAGUCUUGCAAUUCUGUGGCACUCCCCUUAUAUGUAAUCAUACAGCUACUUUUGGUGCAUGAUGAAAAGUAUGUUAUUUCUCUCUCACAUUUUAAAUAUGUGCCUAUUAUCCUCUUGUGUAAAAUAUGAUUAACUGAGCACUUUCCGGAGAUAAUUUCUGCUCUGCAGCAUAUUCUGCAGGUUGUUUAACCUUUUUGAGCAUACAAUUGUUCAUUUUUGGACAUAAUGCUUAAAUAUUAAUUUUCAGGCUAGCUAGUCUUGUGAGAGAUUUGUUUGGGUUUACUAAGUAAGACCAUAGACAUUCACACUGAUUACUAACACCUAUAGUGGGUCAGAACUCAUUAUAAUAUUACACAUACCUCCAAGGAUCUUAUAUUGAUAGUUCCGACUUCUGGCCAGCUGUUCGGGGGGCGGUAGUGGUCAACUAUGAGAGGAGCCUCGCUAGGGAUCCUUGAGUAUUGCAUUAUUCUCUCAACUGAUAUCAUUUUAUUUUCUGUGUUGCAAAUGUUCCAAAUUAUGGAUGCCAGCUGCGAGUUGAGGUUCAAUGCGUAAGUCACAGCAAGUCCAGCAAUGCCUGUAUGUACAGUUAUAUUAGUUUGACAAUAAUCAAGCGUAAGAUAGCUUGAGGCUUCUGCAGUCAUCAUGAGCUUUUGUGCAUGUAGAGCUUACUUGGGUUUAUAAAACCUUCAGGAAGGCUCACUAGCAGAGUCAAAGAAAAAGCAAAGACAAAAUUGGAUAGCAUGUUUAGCCUGAAAGAAAGCCACUCCAUUGCAGAGAUAUUAUGGAACCAUGGCCUGGAGUGGUUGUCAACAAGACCAAUGUUUGCUUUUCUGAAACGAUCUUUCUGCCCAUAUGCUCUAAUACUUGAUGCUCCUGCUAGAGAUUCUGCAAAAUGGUGAAGGAUCGGAGCCCUUUGAAUUUGUGAUAGACGAGCCAACUCUCUCGCUGUUGGUAUGUAGUAGCGCUGCACACAUACAGAAAGUGUACAGAUUCAGCAUUUGCGUUUUUGUUAAAAAAAGAAAGCAUUUUGUGAAAUGAGUACCAAGGAAACUGCUAGGAAAACUUCCUGGAAUUCAUGGCGCGCACAAUUAAUAUGAAAAGGCUAAUAUAAACAGAAGAUCAUUUUUAAGAGUCCAUACUUGACACAGGAAACAGACCACCGUCACUGGAACAAAGAUAGCAAAAACUGGCCAUGCAACUUGUGACAUAACACCAAUGGUCCCCAGAAUUUGUAUGAUUGAAAACACACACCAGCCAAGCUUGUUUGCUAUUUCCAGAUCUAGAACACUUUGGUCAUUGGAGGCCUGGUCCAAAAAACAAGCACAUUAAUUAGUUUAGCUGGUGUGCAAGUAAGUGACAGAGGAUGAAAUGUUCAUAAACUAAAUCAGCACUAACCCUGUUCAAAAUUCUGCCAGUAGGUGUGGAGUCAAAGAAGGACAUUGGGGCACGCAGGAUGCAGUGGAGCAUGUUCUUGAAGAACUUUUCUGAUGUUAGUAGACCAAUCAGUGACACAAGCAAGGACCGAGCUAAGACACACAGGGCACUUCCCAUAGAUAGUGUUAUAUAUACGGAGAAGAGGAGGCCUAAUCCAACCAUUGGAGUGAUUGCAGAUGUUGGAGGAGAUGCCCAUGCCAUCCAAUAGUUGCUAGCUACCUGAAAUAUUUGGAAGAAUGACUGUGCGGCUAUUGUUACUGGCACUAAGGCUCCACCAUGAACUGCCCUCAGGAGUUGCAGUCUUCAAUCUUUGUCUCCACCAUCUGAUUUUCUUGAACAGAAGUUGAGCCAAAAUACUCAUGAUGAAUAUCAAUUGUAUCAGUGCAAAAGUGCCCAUCCAGAAGCAAGGAAAGCAAAAUGGGAAAAGGAAGGUGGAUGAAGGAGAGCACGGUAUGCUGUGUAAUUGUGUCUUCGGAUGAGAGAAGAACCAGACGUAUGCAUGAACCUAUCGCCGUCCGCAAUCUGCAUGCAGAUGCAGAGGAUUAAUCGCAGACGAGGCCUUACCUGAGGAACCAUCGAGCAAGCCCCCAUGGAUAAACAUCUCGGGGUCGGGGAUCCUCGCGAGGACCGGGAAGCGCAGGCUUCCUCUCCCCACCGCGCUCCAAUGAGCGAGAGAAAGAGAGGGAGAGAUUGAAGAGAGGAGGAAUGGAGGGAGGGAGGUGGUGGAGGUGAACUGGUGACGGUGAUAUAGUAGAGGUGGAGACUGGAGACGCCUGACGGAGACGGUGACACCCCUGAUGGUUGCGCUUUUGGCGUGUCAUGGUGCCCGCAGAUCCCGAUCAUGCAGUUUUUCACCGGGCGCGCCCGGCACCGCCCGUGGAAAAAAACGCCGCUGCCUGUGUCCCAUCAGUUGGCCUGGUGCGAGGCAGCCAGUACUAGUAUUUUACUUGUGCUAAAAUAUUCUUUGAUAACGAUCUUCUAGGAAUUUGUUUUCGAAUGUGCAGACUUAACUCUCAAUUGGAUUGCACAUUUGUGCAUAAUCAUCAGUUGAGCAAAUCAAUACAACGAUUCCUUUUGCUAAAUUUA